AGCCCACCUCGGGCACGGUGCGGUUCCGCGGCGAGGACCUGUGGUCGCUGCCGGCCCGGCGGCGGCGCGAGGAGUUCGGCACCUCGGUGGCCAU
rnacentral:tRNA from 1 species